rnacentral:rRNA from 1 species
AUUGAACGCUGGCGGAAUGCUUUACACAUGCAAGUCGAACGGCAGCACGGACUUCGGUCUGGUGGCGAGUGGCGAACGGGUGAGUAAUACAUCGGAACGUGCCCAAUCGUGGGGGAUGACGUAGCGAAAGCUACGCUAAUACCGCAUACGAUCUAAGGAUGAAAGCGGGGGAUCGCAAGACCUCGCGCGAUUGGAGCGGCCGAUGGCAGAUUAGGUAGUUGGUAGGGUAAAGGCCUACCAAGCCGACGAUCUGUAGCUGGUCUGAGAGGAUGAUCAGCCACACUGGGACUGAGACACGGCCCAGACUCCUACGGGAGGCAGCAGUGGGGAAUUUUGGACAAUGGACGCAAGUCUGAUCCAGCCAUUCCGCGUGCAGGAUGAAGGCCCUCGGGUUGUAAACUGCUUUUGUACAGAACGGAAAGGCUCUGGUUAAUACCUAGGGCUCAUGACGGUACUGUAAGAAUAAGCACCGGCUAACUACGUGCCAGCAGCCGCGGUAA